rnacentral:lncRNA from 1 species
GUGCGAGCGCCCCUUUAUUUUUAUUUUUCGUGCCACUGAGGAUCGAACCCAGGGUCUUCCCACAGAGCCACGUCCUCAGCCCGCUAAAGAAUUUUAAAUUUUGAGACUGGGUCCGCCCCGUGGCCCACACUGAGCUCGAACUUUCGAUCCUCCCGCCUCAGCUUCCGAGGGAGCUAGGAUUGCAGGCGUGUGCCACCGCGCAGGGCUGAGCCCCCAGGCCCCCUCAGUCAGACUCUUGGAGUCCGCCGUCCUGGCCCCAUCUAGGGCUCAGUUCUUUGAUCCUUUGAAGGAUGUCUUGACUUUCUUGGAAAAAACAGUCUGCAUCGAAAGGCAGAGGCUCAAUUCGGUGCUCAUAGACAAAGAGGGUCAAGACGGAAACGAAUCAAACAGUAUUGGGAAAAGGCAACCGCCUCUGAAGUCUCGCAGGGUUCUAAUCGGAUACAAGAAACCUGGAAAAACCGUUUAGUGAAAAUGGCACAUAGCCUGUCCUUCAGUUACAAAUCCCAUUUUUUCUGGUGGCGGGGAUGGUGGGCCGUGUGUGUUGAGAGAGGAGAGUGCAAGUUCGUGCAGCUGGGACUUCUCCCUUAUAUCCAGACCAUGUCUUGAAAUCGGAAAAGGCCACAGCUACAGAAAUACAUCGGCCUUCAUGAGACCAGUGGUUUUUCAGUGCAGUCACUGUGACUCAGUCUGUUGAAGCCUCUGCAACCACACAGAGACAGAAAGCUGCAGGGUCUCAGUAUAAAACUACAGACCGAGUGGAAUCAGUAGUGCAGAAAGAAUGAGUGUCCUCGAGUAGAUUGUCUACAGACAGACACUGGAGUGCAAAAUGUUCUUCUGCCCUUUCUAUGGUGUCUCACUGGGCUACAUUUUCCUGAUAUGCUGGCAACGCUGGGUUAGGUGAUCAUCUAUCUGAUGUGAAAUUCUUCUGCAAAUCCCACACCCUUCAAGACAUCUUCCCAUUCUAUGUAUACUGGACAAUAAGUCUUGAUUUCUGUCUCUAUUAGUUGUGGGGUUUUUUCCCAGUAUAUCCAAACAAAGUUUUCUAAUUCCAGCUAAAUAAAAU